rnacentral:rRNA from 1 species
GACGAACGCUGGCGGCGUGCUUAACACAUGCAAGUCGAACGGAAAGGCGCUGCUUUUGCGGGGUGGUCGAGUGGCGAACGGGUGAGUGACACGUGAGGAACCUGCCCUUGACUUUCGGAUAUCUUCAGGAAACUGGGGCUAAUACCGGAUAGGAGCUCCUGCUGCAUGGUGGGGGUUGGAAAGUUUCGGCGGUUGGGGAUGGACUCGCGGGUUAUCAGCUUGUUGGUGGAGUAGUGGCUGACCAAGGCUUUGACGGGUAGCCGGCCUGGGAGGGUGGCCGGCCACCCUGGUACUGAGGUACAGCCCAGUCGCCUACCGGCGGCAGCGGUGGGGAAUCUUGCACAAUGGCCGGAAGCCAGAUACGAAAGCGCCGCGAGCGUAAAGACCGGUUUCGAGUGGUAAACCGCUUUCGACUUUGACGUGGAGAGAGUGACGGUAAUUAAUAAAGAAGCAACGGCUAACUACGUG